CAAUUGAUUACAAUGAACCUAUUUUGUCCCUAGUCCCUCCUUAGAUAUUGUGCACCUCGACUCAAGAAAAUUACCUAAGUUGAGGGUCGCUAUAAUAGGGGUGCAUAGUUAAAAUUGGAUGUGGUAGAAUAAAAAAAGAGAGAAAAUAAAAAAAAAGUGAAAAACUUGAAAAGAAAAGAAAGAAGAAAAACACACCCAAUCUAAAAAAAUCAAAAAAGGAGAAAAAAAGAGAAAAAAAAUGAGAAUGAUUGAGAAUUGGAGCCAAAUUUUAAGUGUAGUGUCAAGGAGGGUGAGUCAUUAUAUCUCAAAUGUUGCAUAUCUACCCCAAACCUACCUUACAAGCUGAUCAAAGUCUUGUAGUGAUCCUAGUCCAACUGUCCGAUAAACUGCGGUAAUAAAAAAUAAAGGCAACCCUAUGGUAUUUAAUGUACAAUGAUUGAAACUUCUUUUAUGAGCAUGAGUUUCUUGGUAUAGUCAUUUUCAUUGACAUGUAUGAUGAUACUGUGAGAAUUGGGACUUCUUUUCUGUGAGGGUACAUGGGUUAUAUUAUUAACUGCUGAUUUGUUUGGGUAGUGUAAAUUAUAUAUUUGCUUGGUUAUUUGUUGUUAAUGUAAUGUCAUCACUUUAUUCCUUUGUAUCAUAUUGUUGUUCUAUAUAGAUCCACAUAGUGGUUUUGGAAAGUUAAAAAUUGAAAGGGAUAAGAGUUUUAAGCUGGAGUUGAGUUGACUGUUGUAGGUGUCUUAGGUUUCUCUUAGUUAAGCAUUGUGUGUUGUUACGUGCUAGUUGCCUGAGGACAUGCAAAUGUUCUUUGUUAAAAAUAUUGAUGUGUCAUGGAUUUAUGGCACUUUAAAAUGCUUAAAACACGAAAAUUAUGCAAGUGCCUAGGCAUUUUGUUAGAUAUGAUAUAUUUUUUAUGUUCGUUUUUCAUGAAAAUAGGUUUUGGAGAAGAAGAGGAGAAAAGAUGGUGAAAUGUAGAAGAAGUCUACUUACGGACCAACUUACGGGCCGUAAGUAUACUUACGACCCCGAUGGUGGGCUCGUAAAUAGCAUAUGGCAGUUUCUAAAAGUUGAUUUUUGUUCUGAGACCUACAAAGGCCUACUUAUGAGGUGUGGGUGGUACCUAAGGCCCCCAUAGGUACCUCUCAUAAGUUAUGUUCCGAAGGUUGUUGAUUUUCUUUGAGAACUACGGACCCACCUAGGGCCCGUUAGUAGUACUUACGACUUAUAAGUAGGGUCGUAGGUAGGUACCGGCUUAGUUUUCUAUUUUAUUUUGGUUAGAAUUUUUAGGUUUUCUAAUGUGUCCUAUAAAUACCUCAUUGAUGUUUUAUUAUUAGUUUAUGCACUUUACAUACUUAAAACAUUAUAUUGAGUCCUAAGUUAG
rnacentral:lncRNA from 1 species